rfam:Syphacia muris strain Valencia genome assembly, scaffold: SMTV_scaffold0000420
AGCAGCGUGGCGCAGCGGAAGCGUGCUGGGCCCAUAACCCAGAGGUCGGUGGAUCGAAACCACUUGCUGCUA